GGGAGGGAGGGCAGCCUGGGUAGGUAGCAGGUCCUUGGCCGGGGAUGUUCCAUGGCCUCUUGUCAUUGCUCUCCCUUGUCGCAUCUUGUCCUUCCCAUGCUGCCUGUCCAUGUGUUUGCUGUGUGUGGCUCUCCUGAGGUGUACCCAAACUGCCUCAGAGCAGCGCACUGGCUUUGGUUUGCCCACCCAGGACAGGAUGGAGCAGCUGCAUCCCUGCACCAAGGGCUGUUUCUGCAGCUCAGGAUGCCUCCAGCCACCUCUAUAACCCACUAAAACUCCUGGCACGGCUGCUGCAUCCAUCCCAUCCUCGGCUAUGGACACCCCACCAGGAGCAGGUCUGGCACUGCCGCAGGGACUGUUGGUGGCACAGGGACAGGAGUAUUGACACUGGCAUCGUCAAAGACAACAGUUUCCAUAGGGAGAGGGGGGAAACCCAACAAACCCCAAUUUAUCCAGCCUCUUUGCCGGUCUCUGCUCUGGGGCAGGGGCUGUCCAACCUGCACCCGAGCUGGCUGCAGAGUUCCCAGUCUAUCCUCUCCCCAUGCUGUGUGCCAGCAGCAGAAGGGUUAGGGAUGAUGCUCAGGGCAGAUA